rnacentral:rRNA from 1 species
UUUUAACGAGAGUUUGAUCCUGGCUCAGGAUGAACGCUGGCGGCGUGCUUAACACAUGCAAGUCGAACG